CCUACGGGAGGCAGCAGUGGGGAAUAUUGGACAAUGGGCGAAAGCCUGAUCCAGCAAUGCCGCGUGAGUGAUGAAGGCCUUAGGGUUGUAAAGCUCUUUUACCAGGGAUGAUAAUGACAGUACCUGGAGAAUAAGCUCCGGCUAACUCCGUGCCAGCAGCCGCGGUAAUACGGAGGGAGCUAGCGUUGUUCGGAAUUACUGGGCGUAAAGCGUACGUAGGCGGUUAUUCAAGUCAGAGGUGAAAGCCUGGAGCUCAACUCCAGAACUGCCUUUGAAACUAGAUAGCUAGAAUCACGGAGAGGUUAGUGGAAUUCCGAGUGUAGAGGUGAAAUUCGUAGAUAUUCGGAAGAACACCAGUGGCGAAGGCGACUAACUGGACGUGUAUUGACGCUGAGGUACGAAAGCGUGGGGAGCAAACAGGAUUAGAUACCCUGGUAGUCCACGCCGUAAACGAUGAUAACUAGCUGUUCGGUCUCUACGAGACUGAGUGGCGCAGCUACGACAUAAGUUAUCCGUCCGUCGGGUAGGUACGAGUCGCGAGAAUUAAACUACAAUAGAAGUUAGUACGCGUGAGACGUAGCCGACGGACGACGACGAGGGAGGUUAGG
rnacentral:rRNA from 1 species